rnacentral:rRNA from 1 species
AUGAUAAGAAAGGGUGCCCCCCCUGCUACCAAUGAAGGAGAUUCAUCUAAAGAAGAGGAAGAUGUUCAUCAAGGAAGAAGGAGAGGUAAUCUUGGAGCAAGACCGCCACGACAACAUGUUGUUCAACGUGCUUCAAGAAGGCCAAUUUAUGUUGAGGCUUCUGAAGGUGAAGAAUAUGAUGAUGCCCUUGAAGAGCCAAAUCUCUACGCAUAUCGGAGAGCACCCAACCCUACAUAUGCAAGAGAUACAUACAAGGUGAAAGCUGAGAUCCCAAGUUUUAAUGGAAAUGUUGACAUUGAAGGGUGCCUGGAUUGGUUAUAUGAAGUGGAGACUUUCUUUGAGGUCAUGGAGGUUCCGGAAGAUCGUAGAGUUCCUUUGGUCGCAUACAAACUGAAAGGAGGAGCCGGUGCAUGGUGGCAUCGCGUUCAAGAGGAGCGCAGGCUGAGAGGAGAACCUCGUGUUAGAACUUGGCGACAAAUGAAAGGCCUCUUGAAAGGGAGAUUUUUGCCCGCUGAUUAUGACCAGAUCCUAUUUAUCCAAUUUCAAAAUUGUGCUCAAGGAAAUAGGACUGUUUCAGAUUACACGGAGGAGUUUCUAAGGCUACAAGUGAGGUGCAACCUUGCUGAAACUGAAGAGCAACAAGUUGCAAGGUACAUCAAUGGUCUCAAUGAUGCUAUUCAAGAUCGAUUGAUGAUGCAACAAAUCUGGUCCGUUGAUCAGGCACAAGCUCUAGCCUUAAAGGCCGAGAGGUUUGUGAGGAUGAGAAAGACAACUAAGGCUCCAUAUCCUCAUACCGAAUGCUCAUCUAGGAGCCAACCUAAUAGAGUGGAAGAAAAGACCACUCCACCAAAGACAAAACAGCCCAUCCCGAAGCAAACUAGAGGCAAGGGUAAGGCAAAUGAAGGUCCAAAGUGCUAUAAAUGUGGUAAAGAGGGACACAUAUCCAGCGGCUGCCCACUAAGGAAAUUUGUUAACACGACUAUCCAUGAUGGUGAAAGCGAUGAGGAAGAAUACGAAUCUGAAGAUGUAGACGGACAAGAGGUUUGUCAAGAAGAAGGUGAAGAGGUGGCAUGUGUGAUCCAGCGUGUCCUAUGUUCCACACCACAACUCGAUGACACACAACGGAAGAAAAUAUUUGAGAGCAAAUGCACGGUGAAUGGCAAGGUAUGCAAACUAGUGAUUGAUAGUUGCAGCUGCGAGAAUCUUAUCUCCCAGAAGUUGGUGGACCAUUUAAAGCUUGAAACCCAUGAUCAUCCAAAUCCCUACACUAUUGGAUGGAUCAAGAAAGGAGUGAAUAUUAGGAUCACCAAACAAUGCAACCUGCCACUUUCUUUGGGUAAGCAUUAUCGCUCAAAUGUGUUGUGUGAUGUGGUUGGCAUGGAUGCCAGCCAUGUUCUUCUUGGGAGGCCUUGGCAAUUUGACGUGGAUACUACACACAAGGGCAAGGAAAAUUCUUACUCUUUCAUUUGGAACAAGAGAAGGAUCAUUAUCUUACCAAACAAACCCGAAGGUAAUACCUCUAAGGAGGAGGGGAAAACUAUGUUAACUAUCUCCCAUACCUCUCAUGAGUUUAUGGAAGACUUGAAGGAGGCAGAUUUGUGUGCUGCACGUUGUAAAGGGAGAAGAGCACCUGACUGUUGA